rnacentral:lncRNA from 1 species
AGAUCUCUAGCCAAGAGAUGAAAGGAAAACCCAUAACAUAAACAAUCCCUUUGCCGAAAAUAGCCUCUAGAAGUUGAUUAGAUGCUUGUCGGGAAGAAAAUGCAUUGUCACAAUAUUUGGAACCAUGCCCUGCAUAGUGAUACCUUUCAAAUGCAUGUCUCAGGAAGACGCUAGAAUAUACAAACUUGCCAGCUUCUAAACCGUUCUGCGUUCUCUGCUAGCUUUUGAAUUAUAUACGCUAGAAUCAAUGUUGCAAAUAUGCAACCAUAGCAAGGCAAGAGAAAAAAUAUGGUAGUUCUAAAAUUCCAUUAGGUUACAUAAGAUACUUACAUAAAGUCUAAAAAUAAUUCAUCAGAAAAGCAUAGUGGAAUCAUAAGUGAUGAGGAAGAACCAAUG